ACCACAAAUGGGGAAAAAUACAGAUAACACUGGAGUACAUAAUACAAUAUUACAAAUACCUAAAACAAACUGCUAAUAUGAAAAUAGUGCACCAUUUUUAAUUAGUCUCUUUUUAUAUGUCACUCUAGAAAUCUGAUGUUGAAGAGCUGCUGGAAAAAGCAUAAUCGAUUACUUUUGUACAAAAACAUGUAGAAGGAAUGUAAUUAAAAAAAAAUACAGUAUUUCAAUGGUUAAUUCUCAUAUUAACAAAAAAUAGGCCACAAUAUUACUGUAAAAAAUAAAAUAAUAUUUUAGCGGAUUUCCUAGCAAAUCUUGCAACCCAGCGCCUAAUCGGCAGAAAGAGAACCAAAAAAACACACAUCGAUCGUCCUCCCUGUCUCCCCAACCCCCCGCACCCAAUAAUCAGAAGGAGAAAGAAAACUUACACAUUUUUCUCCUGCCACCAGGCGACCCACUCACACUUGACUCGACUCGACACGACUUUGCGAAACAACGAAACUCACGAACCCCACGGCACGGAUCGAAACCAACAAAAACCGAGAGAAAAAUCUAGCUGGCCGCACGCGACACCGAACGAAUCCACUUGCCACCGGAAGUUCCGGAUCUGGGGCACACUUUGCACUACUUUUGGGCUGCUGCGGUUACUGGUAGCACAGGAAAU